rnacentral:lncRNA from 1 species
CUCCGCUUACAGCUCGCUGCCGCCGUCCUGCCCCGCGCCCCCAGGAGACCUGGACCAGACCACGAUGUGGAAACGCUGGCUCGCGCUCGCGCUCGCGCUGGUGGCGGUCGCCUGGGUCCGCGCCGAGGCAUUCAUCAAAUAGCAUUUUGAUGGGUUUAAAUCAUUUUCCUUGGCCAUUACUGAAGAAGACUGGAGGAUUUAUACUCUCUACAUUGGCCUUCAAAGUGGACAAGUCUUAGGUAGACAAUUGGAGAGGAGAAAAUAAGAACCAUAUUCAAACCUAACAAGCUAAUUCAGGGCAGAUAAAUGGUCUGUAUUAGAAACUUCCACUUGGACUUUCCUAAGAAACCGAAGGGUGAAAUUAUGAAACUAGUGGCAGCCUUACAAAAACAUUUUUUAGGAAGAGUGACAAGAUAUCUUGGGAACUCCUAAGAAUCACUCUGAGGAGUGUUGCUUUCAUAAUGGGGAGCCCGAAAGACCCUGUCAGUAGCAGUGGAGUCACUGGGUGUUCCUGUGUUGAGAAGGCGGUGUGGUAUGUCACAGGGGAGACUCUCCAACUCGUCACUGUGGACCAUGAGAACAGAAGCACCUCUCUCAAGUACCGGAGUUGGAGCCACCUGGGUCUGACUCUUACCUCAGUCAUGGCCCAGCUCUUGAAGUCACAGUCUCCUCAGUGC